rnacentral:rRNA from 1 species
GAUGAACGCUGGCGGCGUGCUUAACACAUGCAAGUCGAACGGUGAAGCAGGAGCUUGCUCUUGUGGAUCAGUGGCGAACGGGUGAGUAACACGUGAGCAACCUGCCCCUGACUCCGGGAUAAGCGCUGAAAACGGCGUCUAAUACUGGAUAUGUGAUGUGACCGCAUGGUCUGCAUCUGGAAAGAAUUUCGGUUGGGGGUGGGCUCGCGGCCUAUCAGCUUGUUGGUGAGGUAAUGGCUCACCAAGGCGUCGACGGGUAGCCGGCCUGAGAGGGUGACCGGCCACACUGGGACUGAGACACGGCCCAGACUCCUACGGGAGGCAGCAGUGGGGAAUAUUGCACAAUGGGCGGAAGCCUGAUACAGCAACGCCGCGUGAGGGAUGACGGCCUUCGGGUUGUAAACCUCUUUUAGCAGGGAAGAAGCGAAAGUGACGGUACCUGCAGAAAAAGCACCGGCUAACUACGUGCCAGCAGCCGCCGUAA